UACCAACAACAACCUUUUUAUUUUUCAUAUUACUCUUUAGAGUAAUACUCCUUUUUGGCUGUCUCAGUUUUGAGAGAGCCUUUUUCU
rnacentral:antisense_RNA from 1 species